rnacentral:lncRNA from 1 species
UAAUAUCCAAAUCUCAAAUAAACUGAUUUUAAAAAAGUUAAUCAAGGUAAGGAGUAUAAAAUAAGAAAUUAGUGGAACUGAGCCACGCUUAAAUAUCAAAUUAAAAUGAUGUCAUACAAAUCGGGAUAUAUAAAGUAACAUGGCAUGUUUGUCAAAAUUUAAAUUCAUUUGAUAGUUAAAUUUGAAGUAUAACGUGAUUCUCUUUUAAUCAAAUUAGAGUUUACCACUUAUAUAAUACAUAAAUUGAGUAACGUCUUAAAUUUCGUGCGCAGCUAUAUAUAUACAGAGAGAAAAGAAGUUGGAUAAAAAAUAACAUGUGCAACUCGGACUAUAUGAGCAUAUGCAUCCUCCACGUAUUGUAUUUACUGAUUUUUUUUAAUGGACGAAAAGAAAAGUAUCGAGUCACAGAUGACUCGCUUUGACCUUAACUAAGGUGGUCCUUCCUAGCAACAAAAUUAAUGGCUUUCAAAUGUUGGCAGGCAUGUUGAAACGGACUUUACUCCCCAACCAAGUAACAGCAAGACCCCAUAAGUAGGGAAUGUCUAUUCAAACUUUAGUGCGUUUGGUACGACGAAAAGUAUGAAAAAUAUGUGUUAUUCGAUAUUUAUUUUCUAGCAUAUUUUGGUUCAAAAAAUAUUUUCAAAUGAUCUAAUUGUGAAAGAAAAAGUUUAUAGUACUAAUUAACCUCUAAUGAUUGAUUGUUAUUGGGUGUGUGUGUUACACAAAAUCUCUAGAAUACUUACUUGGCACCAGGAUUGGCAACGUUCUUGAAGAUCUUUCUGGCACAAUUUUUAGCCUCCAAUUCACUGGUAAUCUCAGAUUCAGUGUUUCCAAAUUCAUCCACACUCUUAGAAAUAGUUGAUAAACCAAAGAACCUUACAUAAUUAGCCAAUCUCUUCACACUCCAUGCAGAUGACUUUCUUUGCAUACUCAGCUUCUUUAGCUUCAAUAAUUUCCUCGGUUCUUUCACUUCUACCACUUUUUCAUCAACUGGAGGGCCAGAAAAGGUGUGCAGGACAUAGUGAUGAAAAACACUUUCCUUCAUACGAUCAAAGUAAGUUGCAACAAAAAACGAAGAGGCUAAAACUUUGACCAAAAUGAUCUUAACGGGCCAAAUUGUUGCACCAAUAAGUAAGGCAACUAAAGCUUCACGUAAUUUUGUUAACAACUUGUUUUGUUUGUUGAGUUUUGUGUUGAACAUGAAAGUCAAAGCUAAAAGGACAAGACCUAACCAAACACAAUUUUGGAAGCUCUUUCUAAGACCAUAGACAAAAUAUAAGACCUUUUCACGAAGCAUGAAGUUUCUCUCGAUGAGAAAAACGAGGAAUCUAAUUACGCAACUUGAAACAAGGCGACCACUGAAUAUGACAAGGAUCACUAAGCACCAUUUCCACAAGUCAAGACCCCAUAAGGGAUUGUUCCUAAGAGGUGAAAUUGUGAGAGCACAUAUUAAACAAGAGGUUGUGAUUAAAAAAAAGCACCACUCAAACAAAAGUCUAAAAGGGAUUUUUGUCGUCUUCUUUCUACACUUUUCUUUAGUAAUCCCAAAUCCUUCAUCAUUUUCAUGUUCUUCAUCACUAUCUCCAUCCUUUUCACAGGGCUUGAAGGACUCGAAUUCGUCGUCUAAGUUGAAAGAUUUUUGCUUCUUUGGAACACUAUUGAACUCAAAGACUCGAGCUUUGGGCUUUGAGAAAGUGAGGCGGCGUAGUGUUUGAAAUUUUGUAGGAAUUCGGGUAAGUUUUGUUUCUGCCAUGUAAUUAGCAUCAUUGGUGCUCCUAGGUUGUGAAUUAUUGUUCUUGUGAUCUUCUUCAUCCAUGAACAAAAUCACAUGAUCAGAGGCUGGUUUCUCCAUCUUUUUUUUUUGAAGGUACGUACUUCACUUAGUUUCAUCAUCGUCCUAUAUCCCUUAUAUAGAAUGUGAAAGUGUCAUCAAACAUUACCGUGACGUUCCACUUUCCACAUAAAACUAAUUAGCCUAAAUCAUUAUAAUGUUUGGUUUGAAUUUUGAAGAAUUGCGUAUAGGUGUUCGUAACACGCAGCGAAAGACAACAACAAUCCUAGGCAGAUCUUUUUAUGUUUAAAAUUUAUUUACAAGUCAAUAGAUCAGAUCUAAGACGUACCUGGUGAAGAGAGUCUCGUUUCAAAAUUUCUUCGAUAGUGCGAAGACUCUAUGCGUAUCCACACCGAGACUGAUCCUUGCUGUCAACUAUUUGAUCAAUGAAACCCGCGAACAAAUUGAACAAAAUAUUGUGUUGAAAUUUUUCACAAAAAUCUCAACUCAAUGUUAGAAGAACAAGAAACACUUUUCUUGCAAUUGUAUUUUCUCUCUUGGCUUUGUAUUGCACUCUCACUUUCACAAAGUGGGUUUUCUUCUCAAGAAUCAGUUGGUAAAUUUUCUUCCAUCACCCUUUAUAUAGCAUCACCUAUAAACCAUUUUUCUAUUUGGUUGAGGUAAUGAUUUACUUAGGGUAAAAGUUU